ensembl:lncRNA
CCAAAAUAAAGUCUGAAACUGUUUCCACUGUUAGUGUGUACCAGAACCCCUCAGUGUGACAACCCUCCUUUGUGUGUUCCUUCUGCCCAGAGAGACCCCACCUCUCAGAGUGACUCCACCAGCCAUUGUGACCCCGCCUCUCAACGUGACUCCUCCCCUCAGUGUGGCCCUUAUCAGUGUGACCCCUCUAGACAGGUACCGCCCCCAGUACGUAGGAAUCGGGUCUGCCGGUUCAGGCGGCAGGAAGUUCUGCCACCGGCCUCUAGAGCGGCGCGAGGUCUCGAGUGCGCACGCACCGUUCCAGGACCCGGUGCGCUCGCCGUACCCAACGCUUCUCUUCUCCGCUGGCUCCUCCCCACUGUCAUCGGCGGUAUAGCCAAUCAUCGCCUGGGUUGGGUGACGUCACACUAUCCCGGUGACAGGUCUGGGAAGAGUGGUGAUGGGCGUCGGUGAGCCGCUUGCCACCUAGCGGCGGAGUGGAGUCCGGUAGGAGCGGAGGCUGCCGGCCUGGGGCGAAACAGUCUGCGACAGAGCUUGAGGGAGCAAGUCUGAAUUCUUUUCAGAAACUCUAAAGUACUAUUUUUAUUUCUGUGCCUGCCAGGUUCCUCUGUCCAUGGGGAUUCUUCGGUCAAGAAUACUGGAAUGUGUUGCCAUGCCCUCCUCCAGGGGACCUUCCCAACCCAGGGAUCAAACCUGCGUCUCCAGCAACUUCUGCAUUGCAAGUGGAUUCUUUACCGCUGAGCCACCAGGGAAGUCUGAAUAACUGUAUACCCUCAGCUCAAUUCAACAAUUGUUAUUUUGUUAUGUUUGUUCUGUCUCUCUCUGAUAAAAAAUUGUAUGGUGUGGUAUUUGAUAUAGUAUGGUUAUACUGUACUAUUUAGUAUGAUUUUUUAUUGUACCAUUUGAAAGUACAUUGCAGGCAUUAUGACACUUCAUUAGUGUUAUCUUCUGAGGUAAUUUUCUAUGUAACCAUAAUACCAUUAUCCCAUCUUGAAUUACUUUGUUCAUUUAGUUUCUUUUUUUUUUUGUGGGGUUCGGG